rnacentral:lncRNA from 1 species
GAAAGAAAAUUCAAUGCUUGGGAAUGGAACGGGGAGAUGGGAGCAUCAUCCCUGCGUCCACCCGAGCGCCGUGGGGCGGCCGCCCGCGGGCACAGCGCUGCCCGCCCCGGCCCCAAAGUUGGGACCGACCCCGCGGCCAAUGGAGCGAGCGGUGGGGAUGGACGGUGCGACCGAAAGCAACGAGGGGUCUCUUUAAAAUUCCCAUCCACUUCAGAUGUCUAAAGUAAGAUUGUGAUGAUUUUGUCACGGUUUGGUAAAUUUACCCCUUUAAGAGGCUUUCAUAAAUCCCAGAACACACCUUCAGCCAGAUUUGAAUAUAGAUUUAGGUUUUAAAACCCAGAAGCUGGGAACACCGCUUUAUCAAAGAGAAUUUCCCUUUAGCUUAGCGAUGUGUCGGAAUGGCUCUCGCAAAGAUCGGAUCGGAGAGGGGGAAAAAUAGGGGGAAGCCUUCAUCCCGGAGCGAUCCUACACGCACUUUGCAGCCGCAUUCCGCCUUCAGCCUCAGGAAAAGUUGCCCCCAAACAAGCAAAAAAAAAAAAAGAAAAAAAAAAAAGUGGCAGCCGUAGGAACUGUUUUUUUUUUUUUAAUUACUAUUUUAUUUUUAAUUAUUUUUUAAGGAAGGGAAAAAGAAAAAAAAACCAACAAAAACAACCAAACAAAACAGCCAAUGCGACCAAACCCCUUUCCGACCUCCUGCGCUCCGUUCGGAUAGCAGCUCCGGGCAGGUAUACAGAGCCGCACUAACUCGGGCUCAACGGGGAGCGACUUUUGUGCUCAGAGAACCCCCAGAUCAGCUCCCGGGAUGGAAAGGAACUGUAACUUCUGCUGCUCAGGUCUGUGGGAGGCUGGUCCCUCUUUGAACAUCUGGAGUGGUGUGUGGCUGCAUUCAUUGGAAGAGGAACCCCACGUGGAAAACCAGGGCCAGAGCUAAAGGCAGGAUUCAACUCCUCUUCACCCUUGAUGUGCUGGCCCAGCUCCAAGGAGAUGCUAAGGUAGCAGCUCAUACAACUCUGCUGGCUUUGGAAGGGAGCUUGGGAGUCCCCAGAUCCUUCUUGUUCGUGUAUUGGCUCCAGUCUCAUCACUUACAUGGAGAUUUGCUUGCAGGGAAAUCAUAACCUCAAGUCAUGAUGUUCCUGGGACAUCCCAAAGGUCAGCCUGAUGGAGAGAAGUCAAAGGCAGUGGGUGGAAGAAGGGUUAAUGGGAGACAUAAGAAAUCUAACUGAGAGCUCUUGAACCACAACUCCUCCUCAUGUCCAGAAGAUCUCCUGGGACCCUCUCUCCACUUGCUCAUCCAGUGACUGGUGGCCUCCAAGAGCCAGCAGAUCCCAAGAGAGAUUAAGUAGAGCAUGUUGAUGUCAUGAGCCUUGUUCUGCCUCAAGUUGAUGAUAUAGCUCAGCUGCUGGUUGUGUUCUACAUGUGUGUGUAAUAUCUGUAUGUCCAGUUAGAGGCAUGGGCUAUGCUCCUCACAGUUAACUGCAAACCAAGGCUAUUGCUUUUUGUGAAGGAAAAACUUUUAUCUUCUCAUAGCUUCAAGUGUUCCCCAUUGAUAGGCAUCUCUUUGCCUGUAGAAGUACAUCCUAACACACCUUUCUAAGGUGAAAUACUCCCCUGAUUUCCUUUGUCCACUGUCGACCCCUUCCAAGGACAGAAAGAAAACCAACAAACCCUCUUUAUUUUCCUCCCCCCUUGCACAUUUUCAAUUAAAAUAGAUUUGGGCAAGCUACACUGAAUGUGCCACAAAUCUUCUUGCAUGGUUAAAGUUGAUUAAUUGGGGUCAGAAGUGAAAAUUAAAUAACGGCAAUAGCUAACAAAAUACAAAUAGCUUCUCCCAGGCCUUGCAAAUGAUGGAGCACGAGCUGAGAUGCCUCAGCUGGUUCUGCCUGGAGGAGGACCUGCCUCCUUCACCUUGGGUUAAACAGUGAAGAGCAAAUCUGGGUGUUGGGGGGAGGGCUUGGCCUCAAAGUAAUAUGUAUAUAAUCCUCAAGAUAAUCAAUUUCUUACAGAUGCUUUGUAAACUUUCGUGUUCAAGAACGCAAGCCAUAGUACUUUCUAAAUCCCUAGGGGUUGUACUUGAUACCCAUUUGUUAUUUCCUAAUGCUAUUCAGUCUUUUUUUCUCCCUGUUUUUUUUCCUGAAGCUUGCAGCAAUAAGCCUGGGACUUAGUUGACAGCCACCACCGCUUUUGCCAUUCCGCAGUGAACUUUGUGCGCGUUUCCAUAUUCCUUUUCUUACACUCCUGAUAAAAGCAUUAUCAGGGAAAUUCAAAAGCAAGCAGAAAACUGGCAUAGCUAAUUUAGGCUAAUUAGUAUGGCAGAAGCUGAGUCUUGUACUUCAGAGGUUCCCAUGCCCUCCCAUGUCUCCACCUGAUCGCCUUGUCCAGCAGCAAACCCAGGAGGCAGCUCCAAUUAUAUCAUAACCUCUUCAAACACCAAGCCACUCAAGCUAAUUUUAUCCUAUUAAACAGACUGAAGGAUUCAGAAGAAAGGUUCUCCCCCAAAAGCUUCAAUUACCAGUGUCCCUGAUUACCAUCUUUACAAUCCUAUAUGCUACAGUUAAAUACUUUUUUGCUUAGUGUUGCUUUCUUGAUUUAGAUGAAAAGCAAGUAUUAAGAGCAUGUCUUUUCAACUCAAGCAAGUGACAUUCAUAAUAAAAAAAAAAAAAGGAACCUCUGUUGUUAUUAGCGGGUUUAAUCAAAGUCAAGUUUAGAACCGUUCAAAGACAACGUAAUUGGGGAAAUGUAAACAUCCCCUCACAUCUGGUGGCCUUUAAAGCAGCCAAAGGUAACUGCCAAUAACAGCAGCAUUGGCCAAAACAAUUAGGUGUAGAAGAAAAAUAAAAUAAAGAAAACAGCAGGAUCCCCCCCCCCAAAGCAAGGAAAUGUCAAAUGGUGCUUUGCGUAAAUCUCAUAGCACUAAUCAGCAGUAAAAUAGGUUCCAAGGUACUGAGCUGAUCCACCCUUCCUUGCAGCAGCACACAGUGAAUGUUGGCCUUGAGGAGGCAGUGAUGCCCGACCAAAAGCACUCACCUAUGUCAUAGAGAUGCCUGGGCCUAAGGCAGCUCCAACCCUUCCUCCCUCUGCUCCAGGCUUGGCAGUGACCCAUCCAGUACUCCUUGCUGGCCAUGCCCAUGGGGACAGGGAGCUGGUUUUUUGGCCAUCACCUCCUAUGAGGGGGCUGCAGUCUUGGCUGAUGACUCCACUCCAAGUGCUGCUAUAAUUCAAAUAAUAGUUGUAGGAUCCAGAGAGAAAGAAAAGAUGUUUGCCUGAGCAUCAAACUAACCCUCUCCUGAGGACUGAACCUGAGACAAGUUCAGGUGGCAGCAUUUAUAUCGAAACAACAAGAGGAAAUGGAUCACCUGGGAAACCCAGUAGCAUGAGUCAUAGCAAAAGCACAUCUCUCUCUAUUUCUUUAAAAAAAAAAAAAAAAACACCAACAAACUUGUUCUUUCCAUCCCCAAAUGGACUAAUUUUGCUUGUUCCUCUUCUCCCACAGACAGCAGUAGGUUUAAGCACACUCAUGGCUGUUAAUAUUCAUGCUUUCUUUCGGCAUCGCCCCAUCCUGUGAGCUCCCAGUCCUUCCCCAGCUGGAGGUAUUUGGGGGCUGGAUUUCAUUUCGGAUCUGCUCAACCUUGCAGCUGAAAAUGAGCAUUUUUUCUUUCUCUCGAGAAACAAACAAACAAACAAACAAUUUCUGUCAUUUAACAGAAGCAGAAUGGGUUUCACCCAAUUGCCCGCUCUCUGGGCGAUAUGGAAAUGCUAUUGUUUGGGGACAAUGAUUCUCAUGUAAAUGAAACAACAGCUAAACAAGAAUGCUCCCUAUCUCUGUUUGGGCCAAUUUUCUUAAUGUUUCAGCACAGCUUAAUCUGUUGGCAGAAGUGUUUAGGCCCAUUAACAGCUAAAGUCACAGAGUCCACAACUCACCCCGCUGACAGUAAACAAGGAAUUUGAGGAAUGGCCUUUAAACAAUGGCUAAGCCACAAACCAUUUUGCCUUCAAAUGCUGUGAAAGGCAUAUAGGCUGAUGAUUUUCUUCCUUGGGUUACAGCAGUUUGAAAGCCCGGCUUCCCUCCCUAAGUCCCCAGCACCCUCCAGGCUUGGGUUACAGCUGUUUUAUUUGCCUUUCCAGCCCCACAGCUGUGGGAUUGGUUAUGCAGGUGUGUUCCCGACAAAUGAGUCAUUCCAGGGCUUCAUAUUAUUUAUUUGUAUUGACCGGCACUGCCCAAACACAGGGCAAGGAGAUGCUCUGUGCCCUGCAGGGCAGGUUUCUGGAUUUAAUUUUGCUCGGGGAACACUGCAUGUAGGUUCUUCUCUAACAGUGCUAUGGGUAAACAGAGAAAAUUGGACCUCAGGGAGAGAAAUAAAUGGUAACUGCCAAAAAAAAAAAAAAAAAAAAAGUGAAGUGCUGAUUACAACCUGUGAGGCUUGUAUCUUGCUUGCAUGGUUAUGAUGGAGAGGGGAUGAUAUGGGUGCUCCCCCAUGUUUCCUGCUUAGGAGUUUGGUGGGUUUGGUCCCUUUUUACCCCGCUGCCUGAAUGGCAUCAGAUAUACCCCCCUUCUCACGUGGCAGAUGACCACAAGCCAGAAGAGGAUGCAGAUUCCUUUUUAUAUGGAGUUCUUUGGAAAACACAACUCUGAAAAUAAAGCCAGUGCUGUGAUGUCAGUCCCAUUUGUCUUCCAUGUGCUUUUCCCAGGCUGAGCUUUUUCUAGCUGAGCUAGAGGCUGCACCUAGCAGAGAUGUUAAGAGUAAUGUGUUACAGACAUUGCUGUUGAGCCCUCACCAUCUCCCAUGCAAGCUGCUCUUGCCUGCUCUCUAGCCACAAGGCAGUGGUGAAACCAGAAGCAAAAUCUCUUGUCUGAGGCUCAAACCAAGCUCUUUUACGCCUGACCCAAAGACCAUCCAAAGCCACACAAUGGGCAAGCCAGUGCUACCCCCAGUGGCACAUUCUCAGAUAAACUGGGGGUGCUAUGCUGAGCUUCUGGUGAGAUUUUUCUACUGGUUGUUCCCAGGAGAAACCACAGAACAGAGAUGAGAGAAUUCCUGGAGAUGUCCAAGGUCAGGCAGGAUGGGGCUCUGAGCACCUGAUGGAGCUGUAGGUGUCCUUGUUCACUGCAGGGAGUAUGACCAGAUGGCCUUUAAAUGUCCCUUCUGACUCAAACGAUUCUAUGAUUCUAUGAAGUUAUGAUGGAAGAGCAGAGCAGGUAAUGAAAUGCUCUUUGGCUGCACUUGUAAAUACUCUUUACUUGGACUUCCUCAGGCUGUAUCCGAACUAUAGUGUAUCCACCAAUCCUGGGAUCAUCCAUCAGCAUUAGUAGGAAAUGUGAGAGAAAGAAGAUAAAGAGAGAUGGGGUAGGAAAGCAGUGUUACACACCAACUUGCAUUCAGCUGCAUGGCAGGGCUCUGCAGUGGAGCUCAUAAAUUCUCUGCAUGUGACAUUCAUUGACAUUAAGAGGAAAGGGAAACGCAAGCAUUCCCCUGCUCAGCAGCAGAUUGAAAGGUCUUUUCCCCAAACUGUUAGAUGCUGGUUCAAAGUUUUCCCUAGCAAAUCAGUUCUGUAGCAUAAAGAUUCUAGAUUUUAUUGAAAUAAAAUUUAAUGAAAGCCAUAAAAUAUAUAAAAAAACAAAAAAGAUUGUGGGAAAACUGUUUUGCCUUUUUGUAGAAUCCUAGAAUGGCCUGGGUUGAAAAGGACCACAAUGCUCAUCCAGUUCCAACCCCCUCCUAUGUGCAGGGUCGCCAACCAGCAGACCAGGCUGCCCAGAGCCACAUCCAGCCUGGCCUUGAAUGCCUCCAGGGAUGGGGCAUCCACAGCCUCCUUGGGCAACAGAGGUUGUACCUCAAAGGAGAUGAUACCUUUUAUGGUACCAUCUUUUAAAAUAAAUCCUUCAUUGUCUCAGGGCAGCUUUUAAAUCUGAAUACUGGUAUCAGUUGCUUGGCCUAAUGGAGUUAGUUCUCUUUUUCAACCUUGUUUCAUUGAUAUCUUCAAGCUACCGUGGUUACAAGGGCACUGUUGCUAAUUGUUCAUUAAGUGGCGAGGAGAGAGGACUCUGAGGUAGGUGGCACCCAGGGGCAUACCCAGUGUGCUGCUGCUAUCCCAGCUCACCACCAUGCCUCUCUGCUGUCCUGAUGCCCAGGACAGGAACUCCCUGUGCCCUACACAAGCAUUUAGUGAUGAUUCCUGCUCCUCCCUAACUUCACAUUUGAGCUGAUGUGAACAGACAGAGAGGCAGGGCAUGAAUCAAAUGAAUGGGAGCUCAGAACACCAGGACAAUAACUAAGAGUUUAACAUGGAUCGGAUGCCUUUAGCAGAGUGCUUUUGCAAACACAGUGAUGAGUGUUGCCAGAAGAGCUCGACAGACAGCAGCACUCCAUAAAAUCCCCUUUUUACUGGACUGAAAACUUUUCCUUAGUGUUAAUGUACUAAGAACUCCUUAUAAUUCCCAAAUACCAACCUGAAACACUCCCUGGAAAACAAAUAGAGUUUUCCCAGCAACUGAGCCUUUUGAUCUACAAGGACAGCAUCAAAGAGGAGAUCUAACUACAUUUUAAAAAGAAGAGAGGCAUAAAACUCACAUCAAACUCUCUGAAUUUCUGACCUAUUUCUGACAGACCUGAAAAUAUCCUGGAAAAGUUUUCUCUAUGUUAACCAACACUGCAGCAGGAAAAAAAAAAACAACAUACCUGUGUGUAUAUAAAACCAUAGGACCAUAGGCUAUCACGAGUUGGAAGGGACACAUAAGGAUUAUCAAGUCCAACUCCUAGCUUCACGCAUACAUACACACAUAUACACACAAAUAAAGUGCUUACAAUAAAUCAGGU